GAGUUGAUCCUGGCUCAGAACGAACGCUGGCGGCGCGUCUAAGCAUGCAAGUCGAACGGCAAGAGGUAGCAAUACCUCCUAGAGUGGCGGACUGGUGAGUAACACGUGGGUGACAUACCCUUCAGAUGGGGAUAGCUAUUAGAAAUAGUAGAUAAUACCGAAUACGAGCACAGGGGUUAGAGAUCUGUGAGGAAAGGAGCUAAGGCUCCGCUGAAGGAAUGGCCUGCGGCCCAUUAGCUAGUUGGUGAGGUAAGAGCCCACCAAGGCGAUGAUGGGUAUCCCGGCCUUAGAGGGUGAACGGACACAUUGGGACUGAGAUACGGCCCAGACUCCUACGGGAGGCAGCAGCUAAGAAUAUUCCGCAAUGGACGAAAGUCUGACGGAGCGACGCCGCGUGGAUGAAGAAGGCCGGAAGGUUGUAAAAUCCUUUUGAAACUGAAGAAUAAGCGUUGUAGGGAAUGACAGCGUGGUGACAGUAGGUUUUGAAUAAGCAACGGCUAAUUACGUGCCAGCCGCUGC
rnacentral:rRNA from 1 species